UUCUGGCCUGCCCAGUGAAAAGUUUUUAACGGCCGCGGUAUUUUGACCGUGCAAAGGUAGCAUAAUCAUUAGUCUUUUAAUAGGAGGCUGGUAUGAAGGGCUUGACGAGAUGUCGCCUGUCUCAUUUUGAAGAAUGGUUGAAUUUAAUUUUUAAGUUAAAAAGCUUAAAUUUUUUUGGAAGACGAGAAGACCCUAUAGAGCUUUAUUUAUAAUUUUUUAUAUUGCUUUUGUUUUAUUGUUUUUUAUGAUUUAUUUAUAAAUUUUGUUGGGGUGAUAAAAAUAUACAAUUAACUUUUUUAUUUACAGUUCAUUUAUUUAUGUUAUUUAGAUCCAUUAUUAUUGAUUAUUAGACUAAGUUACCUUAGGGAUAACAGCGUAAUCCUUUUUGGGAGUUACGAAUCUACGAAAGGGCUUGCGACCUCGAUGUUGGAUUAAGAUAAUGGUUAGGUGCAGUAGCUUAGCUACAUAGGUCUGUUCGACCUUU
rnacentral:rRNA from 1 species